rnacentral:rRNA from 1 species
UACGUAGGGUGCGAGCGUUAAUCGGAUUUACUGGGCGUAAAGCGUGCGCAGGCGGUUGUGCAAGACAGAUGUGAAAUCCCCGGGCUUAACCUGGGAAUUGCAUUUGUGACUGCACGGCUAGAGUGUGUCAGAGGGGGGUAGAAUUCCACGUGUAGCAGUGAAAUGCGUAGAUAUGUGGAGGAAUACCGAUGGCGAAGGCAGCCCCCUGGGCCUGUACUGACGCUCAUGCACGAAAGCGUGGGGAGCAAACAGG